UCCACGCCGUAAACGAUGAUCACUCGCUGUUAGCGAUACACAGUUAGCGGCUAAGCAAAAGCAUUAAGUGAUCCACCUGGGGAGUACGGCCGCAAGGCUGAAACUCAAAGGAAUUGACGGGGGCCCGCACAAGCGGAGGAACAUGUGGUUUAAUUCGAUGAUACGCGAGGAACCUUACCUGGGCUUAAAUGUAGAGUGCAUUCUGCCGAAAGGCGGAUUUUCUUCGGAACUCUUUGCAAGGUGCUGCAUGGUUGUCGUCAGCUCGUGCCGUGAGGUGUCGGGUUAAGUCCCAUAACGAGCGCAACCCUUAUCGUUAGUUGCCAGCGGGUAAAGCCGGGAACUCUAGCGAAACUGCCGGUGUAAACCGAGAGGAAGGUGGGGAUGACGUCAAAUCAGCACGGCCCUUAUGUCCAGGGCUACACACGUGUUACAAUGGCCGGUACAGAGGGGAGCUAUGCUGUGAGGCAAUGCGAAUCUCAAAAGCCGGUCUCAGUUCGGAUCGGAGUCUGCAACUCGACUCCGUGAAGCUGGAUUCGCUAGUAAUCGCGCAUCAGCCAUGGCGCGGUGAAUACGUUCCCGGGCCUUGUACACACCGCCCGUCAAGCCAUGGAAGUUGGGGGUACCUGAAGUCCGUAACCGCAAGGAGCGGCCUAGGGUAAAACCAGUGACUGGGGCUAAGUCGUAACAAGGUAACC
rnacentral:rRNA from 1 species